rnacentral:lncRNA from 1 species
ACAUAUUGAAAUAAAAUUCAGAAAACAAGAUUUAAUAGUUGGUAUUUAUUUUUUUCAUACACCAUUUUUGAUGUUUCUAGAAAGUAUGAAAUGAAUUGAGUAACUUAGGAUGUUUAGCUUGCAAUAAGCUGUUUUGAUAUAGGAAUAAACUUUGAAAGUUAACUGCAACUUAUUUAUAGUUAAUGGCAGUGUUGUAUAGGUUGCUUUGAUUUUUGCAGAGUCUGUUCAAGACAACUAUUUUUUCACAUAACCUGCACAAUGUUCAAGGUUAAAAUAUGUGUGGUAAAUACAAGGUAGCUUAAUUUACAGGAUGAAACAAUAUUUGUUCAUUGGGGGGAAAUAUGUAAAUUAUUUGUCCUUGAAAGAUGAAGAAAAGCUUAGUGUUUGUCAAAUUGUUCUUAUAUUAAACAUUUAUUUUUGAUUGAAAAGAAAGUCACUGUAGUGACCACUGACAUAUUAUAUUGAUGGAAAUAUACUCUUGAC